GUGGGGAAUCUUGGACAAUGGGCGAAAGCCUGAUCCAGCGACGCCGCGUGGAGGAAGAAGUCCUUCGGGAUGUAAACUUCUGAACUAGCCGAAUAAAAGGCCUGUGGACACACAGGAGAAGAAAGUAGGCUAGGAAAAGUCCCGGCUAACUACGUGCCAGCAGCCGCGGUAAGACGUAGGGGGCAAGCGUUACCCGGAAUUACUGGGCGUAAAGGGGGCGUAGGCGGUAAAAGAAGUCAUCUGUGAAAACCUAUUGCUCAACGAUAGGCUAGCGGAUGAAACUGAAUUACUUGAGGGCACCAGAGGUAGACGGAAUUACCCGAGUAGGGGUGAAAUCCGCAGAUACGGGUAGGAACGCCGGUGGAGAAGUCGGUCUACUGGGGUGCACCAGACGCUGAGGCCCGAAAGCUAGGGGAGCAAACCGGAUUAGAAACCCUAGUAGUCC
rnacentral:rRNA from 1 species